GACCUCGGAUCAGGUAGGGAUACCCGCUGAACUUAAGCAUAUCAAUAAGCGGAGGAAAAGAAACCAACAGGGAUUGCCUCAGUAACGGCGAGUGAAGCGGCAACAGCUCAAAUUUGAAAUCUGGCUCUUUCAGGGUCCGAGUUGUAAUUUGUAGAGGAUGCUUCGGGUGUGGCUCCGGUCUAAGUUCCUUGGAACAGGACGUCAUAGAGGGUGAGAAUCCCGUAUGUGACUGGUUGCCUAUGCUCAUGUGAAGCUCCUUCGACGAGUCGAGUUGUUUGGGAAUGCAGCUCAAAAUGGGUGGUAAAUUUCAUCUAAAGCUAAAUAUUGGCCAGAGACCGAUAGCGCACAAGUAGAGUGAUCGAAAGAUGAAAAGCACUUUGGAAAGAGAGUUAAACAGUACGUGAAAUUGUUGAAAGGGAAGCGC
rnacentral:rRNA from 1 species